rnacentral:piRNA from 1 species
UGGCACAACUGAGAAAAGCAAGCAGGCAGU